rnacentral:rRNA from 1 species
AGCGAACGCUGGCGGCAGGCUUAACACAUGCAAGUCGAACGCCAUCUUCGGAUGGAGUGGCAGACGGGUGAGUAACGCGUGGGAACGUACCCUUUGGUUCGGAAUAUUCUCGGGAAACUGAGAGCAAUACCGGAUAAGCCCUACGGGGGAAAGAUUUAUCGCCAAAGGAGCGGCCCGCGUCAGAUUAGGUAGUUGGUGGGGUAAAGGCCUACCAAGCCUACGAUCUGUAGCUGGUCUGAGAGGAUGAUCAGCCACACUGGGACUGAGACACGGCCCAGACUCCUACGGGAGGCAGCAGUGGGGAAUCUUGGACAAUGGACGCAAGUCUGAUCCAGCCAUUCGCGUGCAGGAUGAA